rnacentral:rRNA from 1 species
UACGAAGGGGGCUAGCGUUGCUCGGAAUCACUGGGCGUAAAGCGCACGUAGGCGGAUCUUUAAGUCAGGGGUGAAAUCCUGGAGCUCAACUCUAGAACUGCCUUUGAUACUGAGGAUCUUGAGUCCGGGAGAGGUGAGUGGAACUCCGAGUGUAGAGGUGAAAUUCGUAGAUAUUCGGAAGAACACCAGUGGCGAAGGCGGCUCACUGGCCCGGUACUGACGCUGAGGUGCGAAAGCGUGGGGAGCAAACAGG